rnacentral:lncRNA from 1 species
CAUUAUACAGGGCGACAGGCAUGGCAGCAGUUUCUGGUGCACAUGUUGCCUGUCUCCCGGUGACAGAAGAUAACAGAGGACUAAGAGCGCACAUAUACCUCAAGAGCCCUAAGGCUGCCACAGGAGAGUAAACAACUCCACCCAGCACUGCUCCAGGCCGGGUGCAGAGGCCGCAUUCCUGAAGGCUUCAGUGCAAUAGGAACAAGCCGGGCCAGUUCCUAUCAGGCAACAAAAACACUCCUCGAGGUUCUCAGAACGCACAACAUUUCAAGAGGAAAUAAAAACCCCAAGAUAAAUUUCGGCAGAUCCUUAUUCUCGCUAUACACAGCUGCACUUCUCCCUCCUCACCCUGCUUCUUCCCUAGUUCUGUCUUCCUGUUAAGCCUCACAAAAACAGAUGAUCCUUUCCCGAAGGGACCACAUAGAAGGUUCUGGAAGCACCUGUGCUGCACCUGGAUUCUGGGGCUCUCCAUUCCUAUCUGAGGUCUGGCUCCUUAGCAAACGCUACAUUGGCUAAGAAAAAGAUGAAGACUUCAAUGAGGUCAUCAUAGGCACCCAAAUAAAAAGAAAGGAACAGAGGUGCAGACAGUUCUCUGGAGAAAAUGAAGCCACCGGCAGUAUUUUCAGUGAAUCAAAUUGGAGGGUCACCUGAUGUCUUGGUUCGCUGGGUCAGCUUGGACGCACCCUGCUGCAUGGAGGGGCCAUACACGGCUUCAUAUAAAUGAGGGACGCACACUGCAAAAUGAAAUGUCUGCUGGAGGCUGUGGUAGAGGAAGCCCUAAUCUGAUUUACCUCCCGGCGGUGUCCUGCUUUCAAUCCAAUUUUCUGGACAGUUAGAUUGAGAUAGAAUCAAAAUGGGAUUUGCCAGGAGCAAAAGAAAGAUAUUUCUGUCCCCUGGCCUUUGUCUUUAUUAGAGAUCACCCUAGAGUUAGCCAAAUUGUACAGGAAAUCCAAGGUUCAUCAUACAACUUUGCUUCAGAGCCUUUGACUCAGGAGCUGUGGCUGGCGGGCAGUGCUGUGGACAGGAAGGCAGACCUAGGGAUCCUUCCUUGCCCCGGCCCCUCCUCUCCAUCUCUCGCCCCACUCCCUCUGCUCCACCCACCCGUUAGGGGGCGCUUCCUUAUCCAGGCUCCUGACCAGAAAAGCAAAUACAAAUAUGAUCAAAGUACAACUACUCCUCCAAAAUACCCGGUCAACCCUUAGACAUUCGCUACAACAUGAAAAUUAAAAUCCCUCUUCUCCUGUAGAUGUAUUCUAAUUAGAAGAAACAGAUGCUCAUAUCAUUCUGUGAAAGAGCAAAAUUUCAUUCAUAUAUGGCCUGCAUGUUACCAAAAACAAAAGCCCAAAAUGUGAUAAUAAUCAAAAAGCAUCUUCCACUGAACUUGUUUUAGGUAAUAAAUAAAUAAAUAAAUAAAUAAAUAAAUAAAUAAAUAAAUUCUAACUCCGUAUUCUAAAAGUUUUGAAAUUAAAGAAUGGAAUCCUAUUAUAUUCAAUCAUUAGAAUAUCCACACGUAGAUCAAAUCUGGAAAAAAGGCACAGUUUAAGUUUUAAGAGGAUUUAAUAUGUGGC